GUGAGGCCAACUCUCCCUAGAGGCUGGGACGGGUGAGCAGCAGUGUUUGGCAUCAGUCUUGAGGACCCCACCGCCUUCACAUACCCAGCAAUGCUGUCUGGACAAGUUUACACGACAAAUUUGAAAUUUAUUUUGUAGCUCAUGCCUAUUGUAACAAAACUAUACAAAAGAAUAUAAAAUAAAAACACCCCACAGACACAGCCCGCAGUCUGCUCUCCAGAGGUUUCACUGGUGGUAGCUUGCUGAGAAUCCUAGCCAACACUCUGGAAAACUCUGCUGUGCACGUACAUAUUUUUCCUUUUUAACCAAAACGGGCAUCAUUCCGUACGUGUCAUAAUGCCUCCCACUUUGUCCAAUAUCUUGUGGACAGCAGCCUCCCUCCAUGUCAUGGAAACUGAGUUCCAACAGGUGGGGAUCAUCACCCACCUCACAGGGAAACUGAGGCCCCCUGAGGGUAAGCGAGUCAUUCGAGUUCCCCAGACAGAAAGUGGAGGGGUGCAGCCAGGUCCCAGGCCGGCUGCACAACCAGCCUCCAGUGGCAUCCAACUGUGGUUUUCUCUCCUGGAGACAAACGCCCAGUGGUGGGGGGCGUCUGGUGGGAGUGGAGGCCUCAGCUCCAUCUUGGCUGGGCUAUUUCUGUGGCCAGUUCUGGAGGCCAGCAGUCCAAGACAGGCCCCACUGAGCUAAAGUCAAGCUGUGGGCAAGACUGUUCCCCUGGGAGAGCCUAGGGGAGCUCCCUGCGGUCCUCGGCUCGUGGCCCCAUCCUCUCUCUUCAAAGCCGAAGGGUAACAUCUCCAAACGUGUCUCUGAAGCUGACCCUCCCGCCUCCUCUUCCGAGGACCCUUGUGAUGACUUCGGGCCCGCCGGGAUAGCCCAGGAGCAUCUCCCCAGCCCAGAUCCUUAGUCACACCUGCAGAGUCCCUUUCGCCAUCUAAGGCAACACGCAGGUUCUGAGCAUUAGGAUGUGGACAUCCUUGGGGGCCCUUAUUCAGCCCACCACGAGGCUUGUGGAGAGAACAAGAGACAGAGGGGCUGUAAGAGGCCAGCUUACGUCCACCUGCUUCUCCAACGCUUGCUGCCUGGGCAGGGCACUGGAAGGCCUGGAGCCCUGACGCAGGACCUGACCCCGGUGCCCAUCUCCCAAAGGGGAGCCCAGUGGGAGCAGGGUGGAUUGUGUCUGGGAUGAGAACAAAGGAGAAGGGCUCAGGAGGCUGCGGCUGGGAGCCAGGACUAGGUGGGAGGCCCUGCAAGGCGGGGCGGGAGCCAGCACCUGUAUGCACAGCGAGGCUGGGAGGCAGUUGGUGGGGCCAGGACCUGCUCAGCCCCACUUGCUGGGGACCCCAGGCCUGUCCCUCCCUGUGCCUGGUGCUUCUCCAUCUGUCAAUGCUCUCCCUCCCCCCUGGCUCUGGGAGCAUUCCCAGUGGGUCAUGCCUCAAGGCCACGCCACUUGCCCCAGAGCCCCUGACAUUUUCCCCAUCCGAAGGCAUUAGUCACCCUUCAAUGGCACCCUGUGAAUAGUCUGGGCGUGGUCUUCGGGAAGGCCCAGGAUCCCAGUGCAGAGCUGAUCCCGGUGGGUGUCCCAGGAUGCUUACAGACUGUGGGAUAUCCACAGGGCAGUUUGAUUUUGUUUUAAGAAAAGGCAUGGUCACAGCCUCCCUUUGCAUCUCAGAGUGGUCUGGGGCCCACCCAAGGCUGAGAGUGACCUCAGAUGACAUCUCUGAGCCCCCAUCCCCUAUUCCCCCUGCCAGGGCUGCCUGGCCCUGUGCCUCCUGCACCUGGCACUUCUUGGCUUGGUGGGGUUUGGCCAACGGAAUAGGCCUCCCCUCCAUGGGGCCUGGGAGGCAUGGGAGCUGGGCAGCGCUGGGAUGGGGCCGCCCUGCCCGCCAACCACACUGCGCUGUCACACCCCCAAAGCAGGAACCUGGCACCGCCAGCCACUUGAGCCCCCAGGCGCCGUGGUUACGCCUGCGGUCACUGGAGCAGCCGGUCAGGAAACCCCUGGGGUCAUGGGGUUCUGGGGUGGUAGCCAGGGUAUGUACGAGCCAUCUUCUCCUCCAGGCGCUCAGGCCACCCUGCACCACCCCUAAUCCACGCCACACGCACACGUGCCUCCCACUGCCACACAUCCAGCCACGUGGCUCCCACCCCCAGAGCAUCCUUCCAGCUCAUCUCCAUCAAGGCCAAGUGGAGCCGUCCUUCUUACGGCCCGCGGCCCCCCCAUUUCUCCCUCCUUUGGGACCACAGGAAUCAGUUUCUCUCUACUUGCGGGUUCCUGAAUAUCUUCCACCCAGCACUGAAGUUGCUGCCCAGUCAGGGGCAGAGCUGGAGGAGGCGGGGCGGUGACAGCAGAGCAGAGAAAGCUUUCCUUGCCUGGCUGAAGGAGACAGGGCUGCUGUCCCCAGGACCCCUGUGGCUGCAGGAGUGGGAGGAGCGGGCUGGCCUAGGCCCCUUCCCCACUCAGCCGGGUCCUGCGUGGUCCCCUACCCUGGACAGCCGUGCUGUGAUGUGAUCCUCUACCCACAUGGUCCUGGAGCCUGGCCUUCAAGAGUCCCUUUAGGAAAGAAAAGCAAGGGUAUUAAUUGCAAGAGACUGAUUCUCAUAUUUGUUUUAAAUUGAUAUUUA
rnacentral:lncRNA from 1 species